UACGAAGGGGGCUAGCGUUGCUCGGAAUCACUGGGCGUAAAGCGCACGUAGGUGGCUUUUUAAGUCAGAGGUGAAAUCCUGGAGCUCAACUCCAGAACUGCCUUUGAUACUGAGAGGCUUGAGUCCGGGAGAGGUGAGUGGAACUGCGAGUGUAGAGGUGAAAUUCGUAGAUAUUCGCAAGAACACCAGUGGCGAAGGCGGCUCACUGGCCCGGUACUGACGCUGAGGUGCGAAAGCGUGGGGAGCAAACAGGG
rnacentral:rRNA from 1 species